rnacentral:rRNA from 1 species
GAUGAACGCUGGCGGCGUGCCUAAUACAUGCAAGUCGAGCGAACGGACGAGAAGCUUGCUUUUCUGAUGUUAGCGGCGGACGGGUGAGUAACACGUGGAUAACCUACCUAUAAGACUGGGAUAACUUCGGGAAACCGGAGCUAAUACCGGAUAAUAUUUUGAACCGCAUGGUUCAAAAGUGAAAGACGGUCUUGCUGUCACUUAUAGAUGGAUCCGCGCUGCAUUAGCUAGUUGGUAAGGUAACGGCUUACCAAGGCAACGAUGCAUAGCCGACCUGAGAGGGUGAUCGGCCACACUGGAACUGAGACACGGUCCAGACUCCUACGGGAGGCAGCAGUAGGGAUCUUCCGCAAUGGGCGAAAGCCUGACGGAGCAACGCCGCGUGAGUGAUGAAGGUCUUCGGAUCGUAAAACUCUGUUAUUAGGGAAGAACAUAUGUGUAAGUAACUGUGCACAUCUUGACGGUACCUAAUCAGAAAGCCACGGCUAACUACGUG